rnacentral:rRNA from 1 species
UUUCUUUUUCUGUGUAGCCUGCGGGGGAGAGUCAAGAGGAGCGGAGCAGUGGAUGGAAGGGAAUAGGGAAGUGACAGAGGGGUGACGAGGGAUAAGGUACCACCGGUGUUCGGGUGUUGAGAGAGAGAGAGAGAGGAGUUCGGCGGGGAGGAGAAGCAGGGGUGGCGGCCGCGCUCCAGAGCGUGAGAAGGGUGAGAAGAGUAGGGGAGGAGUAGCUUAGCCAGCGGUUUCACGGGCUCCUAGGCGAGUUCGAGCCAGACCAACGACCCGCGGCCUGCUUCCGACUGCGCCUCCGCGCCCUUAACGGAGGUGGUCUAGCCGCCGACACCGUUAGUACACAGCGUUGGAGGCGCGGACCACGGAAGGAAAGGUAGAGCGAGCAGCCGCCGAGGGUGGUGGGACACGCACGCUGACGCGACGCGGGACAUUACGGGUACACGCCGUCGACACGGCGCCACCUACCAGGGGACGUUCACGUUCGGCCACGGCCGAAUGUUCUUUACCUAUAACUUCUGGUAGAUUCUCAGUCCCUUAAACAAGCUAGGAUUUAAAAACCCUGAGACUUUAUUUGUGUUUCUACCCUUACCCCUCCGUAUGGACGGACGGUAUAUGUAGUUGGGCUUCGAAAACUCGUAACAUGUCUUGUUCAUUAACUGUCCGUCCACGCAACGGACUCCUCAAGCAGCCGCGGCUACAGCCGCGGACACCUUCCGCCGCUACCGGUUGUCACCGACCCGCCGCUCCCGUGUUGUCACCGAACCGCCGUGGCUGCAGACUGACAUCACACGUAGAUUUGCCGCUGUAGUUUCUUCUGUAGCUCUAAUUAACCCUACCUUGACCGGUGCAUAACGCGUGUUCUCCUAUCAGACGUGGACGUAACCGCUCUUCGCGCAGCAGCGCCCGCAGCAGGCGAUGCGUACCGCCGCUACCGCGUCCUGUCCGACCCGCCGACGCUGCAUGCAGGCCCACCCGUUUCCGACCAUCUAGCUCGACUAAGGGCAUUCAAAUCUGUAAAUAACACUCCGUCUGCACAAUUAAGGGUAAUUAACACCGAUUAAAAGACAUCAACUAACCUGCGCUUGCGUUUCCCACCUUGACAAAAAAAAGCCCCCUCCACGUUGACAAACUAGCUACCGUCUCAAAACAGGCGAGUACAUUUAGCGAUUUGCAUGUGUCCCCUCCAGACUGAAAAUACACCUGCCAAUCUACGGACUAAGACCCCUACCAUUAAACAGAACAAAC